GUAGGUAUAGCUCAGUGGUAGGGCACAUGCCUAGCAUGCAUGAUGUCCUAGGUUCGAUUCCCAGUACCUCCA
rnacentral:tRNA from 1 species